AUGCUGCGAGACCCGCAUGCAUUGCACACACACAAAACCCUGCAUUCUCCUCCGCCCUUUCUCUCUCGUACGUACUAUAAACAAAGGAAGAGAACAGCGGGCCAUGUGCCAGAUCUCCCCAUUUUUUUCUCUUUAUCUAGGACUCCCUCCAUCGUGCUUUUGUCUAAUUGCGUGGCGGUGCCUGUCGUGGCGAGGCGGCAUCACCAGAUCAAUGCCAAGCACUCGGUAGCAGAAGCAGCAGCCACGAGCAUCGCACCCAAACCACUCUGCAGGGUUUUGCUUGCUGAGCACAAGGCACAUUGCACUAAAAGAGUGGUGUUGGGGCAGCAGUUCCUCGGCGAUGCUCAGAUCCACAACCCUGCAGCGCCUGGGGCAGAUCUGCCUUCCUUGCUGAAGGAGGCUGGCUGUGAUUCUGGGGAAGGGAUAACCCAUUUCUUGGGAUCUGCUGUGGUUUUCCAUCCUGGGAAUGCACCAAAGACUGGUGCAAAACCUCCCAUUUACCUCCCAAGUGAGGGAAGGAUUGCUGUUUGGUUCUGGGGUAAGUCCCCAUUUGCUUUUCUGGAGAAAGUAUAAAAUUCCUAAAAGCUACGGGAGCCACGAGUGAAGGGAAUAUCACUCUGUUCUCUCCACCUCUUCCACACCUAUAGAGGAAGCUAUUCCACAUAUGCUGAGGAAGAAAACAGCUUUUUCUUCUGGCUUCUCAAAGCACAAAGCUCAGCAGCUCACCUUGCCCCAUCUGACACAUUAAUCAGGAGAACAACACCUGGGCACUACCAGACCUGCUCAUCUCUGGAUGUGGAGACACCAAAAAGAAGAAGCUUGAAGGAAUCACAGCUGAUUGUGGAGAAAUAUCUGGUCCCCACCUUCUUCAGUUCUGAUCCUGUCUGAAAAAAAAAAAAAAAAAAAAGAUUAGGUCAAGGUAAAGUAUGAUUUUCUUGUUGAAGAGAGAGAACAUUUAAAAAGUGAAAAAGGUGGAGUGAGAACUAUUAUGUGUGCAAGGUUUGGGGGUAUUUGUGGCUGGACUAAGGGUAGUUAGGUGGAGGAUAAGGAGAGAGUUGUGUAGACCUUGCUUUGCUCUUGCUCUUCCACUUCUCUACAAAUUCUUGUAAGCUCAGGAUUACUGAGGUUAGAUUCAUAGUUUUCUAGGGGAGUUAGUGUGGGAUAGAUGAAGGGGAAAAAUAAAGUAUGGGAAGAUACCUUCA
rnacentral:lncRNA from 1 species